AUGUGCUGUUUUUUGUGGAUAAUGGUGAAGGAGAAGGGGAAUGAGAAGGGAAAGGGUGCUGGUAAGGAGAAUGCGAAGGCGAAGGCAAAGGAGAAGAGCGUGAAUUACCUAAUUAGGCAAGAUUCGACGCUGCCUCCGCCGGUUCCGAGGAAGAAGAGGAAGCCUAAGGUGCAGAUUAGGAAGGCGAAAGACUUUCCCAAUGCCCCAACGGGAGAGUUGAUUUGUAGGUUAAAAAAACACCCUCCACCUCCUCCGCGUCUCCCCGACCGUACCAGUGCCGGCGUGCGUGCCGCGGAAGCCGUUGCCUCCGGCUCUGCAACCUGCUCCGAGCUGCCUCAUGCAUCUACUAUUGAAAUGGGUGAAGCAAUGUUGGAGAAGUUUGACAAAUACUGGGAAGAAAAGAACAAUGCCAUGGUGAUCGCAACCAUCUUUGAUCCACGGUACAAGAUGGGUUACAUAGAGUGGUCCUUUGGAGAACUCUAUGGAGAAGGAAAUACGAGGUUUAGGACUGAGAUCAAAAUCAUGGAGAAAGAGUUGGCGGCCUUGUAUGAAAAAUGUGUUGCUCAAGAUAAGCGAGAUGGAAAUGGAGAAAUUUCAUCUUCCUCUACAAACAUUCCUAGUAUCCCGGUUCAAGCUGGGUACGAGUCCUUCUUAUUGUCCCGUUCAACAAGAAUAUCAAAGAGUGAGUUGAGGAACUACUUAGAGGAUGAGGUUUCCCCUCGCAACAAGGCUCUUGAUCUUCUUGGUUGGUUGAAAGGCAAUGCUCCUAGGUACCCAAUUAUGGACAAGAUAGCGAGGAGGUUCCUUACUAUCCCAGCUACCUCCGUGUCUUCGGAAUCUACCUUCAGCACGACCGGAAGGAUUUUAGGUAUGUCAACUCGUACUACCGAACUUUGGAUAUAA
rnacentral:rRNA from 1 species